rnacentral:rRNA from 1 species
GACGAACGCUGGCGGCGUGCUUAACACAUGCAAGUCGAACGGAAAGGCCUCUUUCGGGGGGUACUCGAGUGGCGAACGGGUGAGUAACACGUGAGUAACCUGCCCUUGACUUUGGGAUAACUUCAGGAAACUGGGGCUAAUACCGGCUAGGAGCUCCUGCUGCAUGGUGGGGGUUGGAAAGUUUCGGCGGUUGGGGAUGGACUCGCGGCUUAUCAGCUUGUUGGUGGGGUAGUGGCUUACCAAGGCGUUGACGGGUAGCCGGCCUGAGAGGGUGAGCGGCCACAUUGGGACUGAGAUACGGCCCAGACUCCUACGGGAGGCAGCAGUGGGGAAUAUUGCACAAUGGGUGGAAGCCUGAUGCAGCAACGCCGUGUGCGGGAUGACGGCCUUCGGGUUGUAAACCGCUUUCGCUCAUGACGAAGCUUUGUGUGACGGUAGUGGGUAAAGAAGCACCGGCUAACUACGUG